rnacentral:rRNA from 1 species
GGGUGCGAUCAUACCAGCACUAAUGCACCGGAUCCCAUCAGAACCCCGAAGUUAAGCGUGCUUGGGCGAGAGUAGUACUAGGAUGGGUGACCUCCCGGGAACUCCUCCUGUUGCACCCU